AUAUAAUAGUAACUAAUUUAUUAUUGCCUCUAGGGCAUAUUUCCAACACUCUCAUCAAUAGAGACCCAAUCCAGAAGAUGCCAUGUCGUCACAUAGAUAUCAAAGAAGAGCAGUCUCUUCUUUCCUAGUUGUCCUAUCGUCAAAACCGGUGAUAGAUCUAUAGAAAUCAAUCAUGCAUGUCAUUCACUAGUGAUAUGGCGUUUGCCCACGAGAUAGGUGUUGGCUAAAUCAGCACCCAAAUUGGUGAAACAGUUACCAUGUGUCCGCCGCCAUGGUUGGUAAUACUCGUACUCUCUUGUAGCUAGCCACACCCUUCACACUUUUUUUCCUUAAGUCCUCUUGCAAACUAUGGGAUGAGGAUUUUACGUCUGCUCGAUAAGCACAAUGUUGCCUAACAAUGGAGCAUGUCUUCUGGGCUUAUCUUCGGCUACAUAUAUUUGCAGCUCAUUUGUUCCUACUAAUGAACUUUUGCACGGAACAUCGCCUUGAUCCUAUUAGUAUUCGAGAACGGUGGUGAUCCUCGAGUGACUAUGGAUGUGUGACAAUGGAAGAUAGAAGAAAAUCAGGAAAGAAGAAGACCGCAGAGCAUUUAGAUUGGUGUUGCCAUGUUGCAUCUUUGUGGUUGGGUCUCACUUGGUAAGAGGAAAGACCCGGUCGUAUUGGAUUGUUUUCUGACAGUACUUGAGCCAUAGCCUUCACUUGUCUUUGACUAGUCCUUGCGAGUUCAUGAUCAACGGUCUUGCUACUCCUCUCUCCCUUGCCAUGUCACAUAUUCGUCAUGGCCUUGCCCAUGUAAGUAAUGGAGUUCUUUUUUAUGAUUGUUUUUCUCCCUCAAACGAUAAUACGAAAGCAUGUGAAUUGAUUUCCUCUACUAAAUUUAGUGAUUAGUCUUCAAAUCUUACCCAUAUUUAUAAAUGUUGCCGACGAGACCAAGGAUAAUUGGCUUGUUAAAUAUCCAUAGUCAUUUUGUUCUUAAGUUAUUUGUGCUGCUCCUGGAAAAAUUAGACAUCCAUAAAACGUUGAGCCAUGCAGACAUUGUAUAUUCCAUUCACAUAUAUGUUUGCUUCAAGUUGGCUAGACGAAUGAACACCUAGGCUAUUCCAAGAUGUUCAUGUUCAAUUUCAUUAGACCUUAGCGGAUUGGCGAUUCUGAUUACUGAUUGACCGGCUUAACUCGAUG
rnacentral:lncRNA from 1 species